UGUAGCAAUACACAUCGCAAUGUAUAAUGACAUUUCUUGUUAACAUGUCAAUUGCGUGCGACCUUUUUUAAUUGUUUUACUUUCUAUUGAUAGUGACUGUUGUACUUUUUUCUUGUGUAACAAUGGAUUCUGAUAGUUCACCAACUAAAAAAGGAAGUAAAAGCCGGGGACGAGGACGUGGGACAUCAACUACGCCAUCGAACCGAGGCCGGCCGCGGGGUAGAGGCCGGGGUAAACGAGCAGUUAAAUUGAUACUCAGCGAUGAUGAUGAAUCAGAAGGUGAGGAGCAAACAUCACCAAUCAAAAUUGUUGAUACCGAAAAUGAGAAACCUGUAGCUUGCAGCCCCGAACUUAUUAUCAAGCACCCUGAAUUUGAUUUAGAGGCUGACAUAUCCCAGCUCCAGGCACCUACUUUCACAACUAUCAACAGAGGCCCCCCGGAGCCUAUGCUGCACCUGACCUGGAACCUACCAGUUAACCUGAUUGGGGAAAAAGUUCUCAAUCCAAUGAUCCAUUGUUGUGACAAGUGUUUGAAACCUAUUCUCAUCUAUGGCCGCCUUAUUCCCUGCAAACAUGUAUUUUGCUUGGGUUGUGGAAGGCAAGAGGAGCACCAACCCUGUCCGAGGUGCCGUGAGAGGGUGGCGCGAGUGGAGCAAACGAGCCUUGGUCAAGUGUUUAUGUGUACUCACGGUGGUUCGCGUUACGGCAAUGACGGCUGUCGUCGGACUUAUCUAUCACAGCGGGAUUUGCAAGCGCACAUUAAUCAUCGACACCUUCGGCUCCCGCCGGAAAAGGAGCCACAAAAAAUCAGCACCGUCCCUCUGUCCGGCUCUCGUGGUUCUCAGCAUAUGCCUGUUCUGCACAGUCGUUCCAAUCUUGUGUCCGUGCACAUUCAAGAUCCUACGACGGGUUUGCCCAGUAACAAUAGUGGUAAUGCGGGAAAUUAUUACAACAGUAUAGCACCUCCGACAAGUGCUGGAUACAGUUACUCGUACAGUUCCCAAACCGGCCAUUACACCAACUCUAGUUAUUACGCCAAUUACCAGCAGCCCGCACCUCCUCCUCCUCCGCCACCACCGCCUCAGCAACAGCAUCAGUACGAUGGCAAUCAAUCGUACGCCAAUCAGUGGAGUUCAACCACCAAUCAAUCGUUCUAUCGGUGAAAAUGAGAUAUGGAUGUCCAACAACGAGAGACAAACGGACAAGAACAUGCUAUCCUUAGCCAAAACAAUCCAUGGCUGGACUGGAGGAAAAAAAGGGAGAAAAACGGACAGUAUUUACAAAAAAAAAUUGGACGUAUGCACUAAGCUGUUGGCUUAGGAACAGAUGGCUCAAUUUCAACAGCAACUGUG